rnacentral:snRNA from 1 species
UUGCUUUGGCAGCACAUGAACUAAAAUCGACGAUACAGAGAAGAUGAGCACGGCCCCUGUGCAAAUGGUGACAUGCAAAUUUCCAUAAAAAAGAAGGCUAUUU